AACGAACGCUGGCGGCAGGCUUAACACAUGCAAGUCGAGCGCCCCGCAAGGGGAGCGGCAGACGGGUGAGUAACGCGUGGGAAUCUACCCAUCUCUACGGAAUAACGCAUGGAAACGUGUGCUAAUACCGUAUACGUCCUUCGGGAGAAAGAUUUAUCGGAGAUGGAUGAGCCCGCGUUGGAUUGGCUAGUCGGUGGGGUAAAGGCCUACCAAGGCGACGAUCCAUAGCUGGUCUGAGAGGAUGAUCAGCCACACUGGGACUGAGACACGGCCCAGACUCCUACGGGGGGCAGCAGUGGGGAAUAUUGGACAAUGGGCGCAAGCCUGAUCCAGCCAUGCCGCGUGAGUGAUGAAGGCCCUAGGGUUGUAAAGCUCUUUCACCGGUGAAGAUAAUGACGGUAACCGGAGAAGAAGCCCCGGCUAACUUCGUGCCAGCCGCCGCCGUAACAC
rnacentral:rRNA from 1 species